AGAGUUUGAUCCUGGCUCAGGAUGAACGCUAGCUACAGGCUUAACACAUGCAAGUCGCGGGGCAGCAUGGGGGUUGCUUGCAACCCCUGAUGGCGACCGGCGCACGGGUGAGUAACGCGUAUCCAACCUGCCCUUCACCACGGGAUAACCCGGCGAAAGUCGGACUAAUACCGUAUGUUGUCCAUUGACGGCAUCCGAUUUGGACGAAAGGCUUAGCGGUGAGGGAUGGGGAUGCGUCCGAUUAGCUUGACGGCGGGGUAACGGCCCACCGUGGCUACGAUCGGUAGGGGUUCUGAGAGGAAGGUCCCCCACACUGGAACUGAGACACGGUCCAGACUCCUACGGGAGGCAGCAGUGAGGAAUAUUGGUCAAUGGGCGGAAGCCUGAACCAGCCAAGUAGCGUGCAGGAUGACGGCCCUAUGGGUUGUAAACUGCUUUUAUGCGGGGAUAAAGGGGCCCACGUGUGGGCUUUUGCAGGUACCGCAUGAAUAAGGACCGGCUAAUUCCGUGCCAGCAGCCGCGGUAAUACGGAAGGUCCGGGCGUUAUCCGGAUUUAUUGGGUUUAAAGGGAGCGUAGGCCGCCCCUUAAGCGUGUUGUGAAAUGCGGGUGCUCAACAUCCGACUUGCAGCGCGAACUGGGGGGCUUGAGUGCGCCGAAAGUAGGCGGAAUUCGUGGUGUAGCGGUGAAAUGCUUAGAUAUCACGAAGAACUCCGAUUGCGAAGGCAGCUUACUGUAGCGCAACUGACGCUGAUGCUCGAAAGCGUGGGUAUCGAACAGGAUUAGAUACCCUGGUAGUCCACGCGGUAAACGAUGGAUGCUCGUUGUCGGCCUGUGUGGUCGGUGACCAAGCGAAAGCGUUAAGCAUCCCACCUGGGGAGUACGCCGGCAACGGUGAAACUCAAAGGAAUUGACGGGGGCCCG
rnacentral:rRNA from 1 species